rnacentral:rRNA from 1 species
GGUCGUGCUGGUCGUCGUCGACGUGCUGGCGCAGGCGCUGCUCUACUCGUCGACGGGCGCCGCGUACGGUUGUGGGAAGGUCGGCGUCGACGUCUGCGUGGCGUUCGGCCAGCAGGUGGGGCGGUCCAAGCUGCUGUCCUUUGGCGCCAGCGUCUCCCUCGGCCUCGCCGCCGUCGUCAAGGACGUCUCGCUGCCGUUCAAUGUCUGGCCCGGCUAGCUCGUCGGACUGAGAUGCCAAAGACGGGCAGAGCACCGUGUACCGUGUGUUGGUGUGCGCGUGCAUGGUACGUACAGAGGGAGUAUAUUGUAAGCAUCGUCUACUUUUUUUCACUAUUAAACAAUUUUUUUACCACUGGGCUCAGCAAUAUCGCUGGCUACCAAGUCUAAUACAAAACCUGGCAUAUCCUCCCCCCAAACAAGUGAGGAUUCAGCUCCACCAUACCCAUGUCUCGCUAAAGCGUGAGCGACAGUGUUACAAGUGCGUUUAGUUUACAGUGCAUAAAAUCAUGACUGUCGAAGGCCAUUAUGCAUAAACUCUCGCUAUAGCCUCCCUGAUCAGGA